rnacentral:rRNA from 1 species
CCUGGCUCAGGAUGAACGCUAGCUACAGGCUUAACACAUGCAAGUCGAGGGGCAGCAGGAGGAAGCUUGCUUCUUUGCUGGCGACCGGCGAAUGGGUGAGUUAACGCGUAUCCAACUUCCCCCGUCUCGGGCAUAGCCCUUAGAAAUGAGGAUUAACUCCCGAUGGUGUCGCGAGAUCGCAUGAGAUUGUGACUAAAGUUGUACGGACGGGGCUGGGGAUGCGUCCCAUUAGUUAGUUGGCGGGGUAACGGCCCACCAAGACAUCGAUGGGUAGGGGUUCUGAGAGGAAGGUCCCCCACAUUGGUACUGAGACACGGACCAAACUCCUACGGGAGGCAGCAGUGAGGAAUAUUGGUCAAUGGGCGCAAGCCUGAACCAGCCAAGUAGCGUGAAGGAAGACGGCCCUACGGGUUGUAAACUUCUUUUGUCGGGGAAUAAACCGUCCCACGUGUGGGGCGCUGCAUGUACUCGGUGAAUAAGGACCGGCUAAUUCCGUGCC